rnacentral:misc_RNA from 1 species
UCCGACUUAACGUCGGCAGUCUCUUUAGAGUGCCCAACUAAAUGCUGGCAACUAAAGACAAGGGUUGCGCUCGUUGCGGGACUUAACCCAACAUCUCACGACACGAGCUGACGACAGCCAUGCAGCACCUGUCUACCGGCCCGAAGGCGACCUCAUCUCUGAGAGUCUUCCAGUAGAUGUCAAACCCAGGUAAGGUUCUUCGCGUUGCAUCGAAUUGAACCACAUGCUCCACCGCUUGUGCGGGCCCCCGUCAAUUUCUUUGAGUUUUAAUCUUGCGACCGUACUUCCCAGGCGGGAUACUUAACGCGUUUGCUUCGGCACUGAAGGGGUCAAUACCUCCAACACCAAGUAUCCAUCGUUUACGGCGUGGACUAC